rnacentral:tRNA from 1 species
GGAGAUUUAGCUCAGUGGUAGAGCGCUUGCCUAGCAAGCGCAAGGCCCUGGGUUCGGUCCUCAGCUCCG